AUAAAGCGAGGGAACCUGUGUAUUGCACUGUUGCGUCCGUCAGGCUCAGACCUCCCGCACUAUGUCCCACCAAUAUUACCUACCAAUUAAGCGAAUACCGAUUUCAAUCUUCUUGAGCAAGAGAACCUUUACUGUUCAAAUUACUACUACCAAUUCCAUCCGACUGGAACAAAUCUCUAUCCUUCGAUCAAUGUCCUCAUUAAUUGGCUCAUUCCGACAGGAUGAAUAUAUAUCUGUAAAUGUACCUUUUGAUUUUGGGGCAUGUUGGAUAAGAAGUUAGCAAGAGGCUGAUCAAAGUCUUCCAAAGUUGAUCGAAGAUGGUAUUUGACCCGCCAUUCGUUGUUAUGUUAAGAUCGAUCAAAUUGGGCUUUCACGUACCUGAUUCCUGAAGAAACUAUUGCAAAACCCAAGAGUCCAAGCAGCAAUCAUGGAUUGUUCACAAAACCCUCUGAGCAUUGCAAAAUAUCAAAAUGACAACGAGGUAAGGCCAAAUUUUGACCUUUAUUAGACAUAAUUUUUCAUUCCUAGAAGUGUCUGCUUUUAAAUUGAUGUUUCUAUAAGAAUACAAAUUCGACCCCAUUUUAUUUUUUUUUUUCUCUAAAAUUAAACUAUGCAUCCAAGAGUUGUCCUUAUUUAUUUAUUUAUUUUUUCUAUAUGAAUCUUUUCAAUAAAUUAUCGGAACUCUUCCCCGGAGUGAGCGGUCCACCAUGAUUGCCGUCGUUCAUUCAGAGUUCACAGUUGGUCGAUGCUGGAAUAGAAAUGCUCAUUAUUUGUUCUUCAUGCAUGACUAAGGUGGUUAGAACAAAAAUGUAAAUCUAAAGCCUGCAUGACUGAACAUACUUUCCCUUGCUGGUAGUGGUGGGCCAUAUAUUGAGAUAUGCUUCUUGCAUAUUAAUUUACUAUAUAUAUACACUCAAUAUUCCCAUCAUCAUCAUCCACACAAUUUCAUUCUACCAAUUCCAUCCAUAACUUCUCACUUUCUUUUCAAACUAUAUAUUAUUAUGUGGAAGCUAAAUGUUUAACAUAUACAUAUAAAUUAAGUCCAAACACUUGUUAUGUAUCUAUGGGUAAGUUUCAAAAUAGAGAUUUUUAUUUUUAUUUUUUUUAGUUUAAAAAUGGACAAAGAGCUUUAUCCCUAAGAAAAGCUAUGAUGUGAUGAAUAAGUUGUUUAAGAAUGAUGACUUUUAAAGAAAGGUUUUUUUUUUUUUUGGAAAAUUUCUCUUACAACCUUCAUCAUUCAUCACUUUUGCAAUCGAUCUUAAUUUCAAAACUUUAUAAAGUAACAUUUAGAAUAUCCAUUUCUCAAUUUAUUUAUUUAUUUUUUUGAUUUUAACCAUCCGUUAGAGUUCUGUUAAAUCCUGUCAAAAU